rnacentral:rRNA from 1 species
GACGUAGGAGGCGAGCGUUAUCCGGAUUCACUGGGCGUAAAGCGCGCGUAGGCGGUUCGUCAAGUCGUGUGUUAAAGCCCCUGGCUCAACUGGGGGAGGUCAUGCGAGACUGUCGGACUUGAGGGCAGUAGAGGCACGUGGAACUCCCGGUGUAGCGGUGGAAUGCGUAGAGAUCGGGAAGAACACCCGUGGCGAAGGCGACGUGCUGGGCUGCAUCUGACGCUGAGGUGCGAAAGUGUGGGGAGUAAACGGG